AGAGUUUGAUCCUGGCUCAGGAUGAACGCUAGCUACAGGCUUAACACAUGCAAGUCGAGGGGCAGCAUGGUCUUAGCUUGCUAAGGCCGAUGGCGACCGGCGCACGGGUGAGUAACACGUAUCCAACCUGCCGUCUACUCUUGGACAGCCUUCUGAAAGGAAGAUUAAUACAAGAUGGCAUCAUGAGUCCGCAUGUUCACAUGGUUAAAGGUAUUCCGGUAGACGAUGGGGAUGCGUUCCAUUAGAUAGUAGGCGGGGUAACGGCCCACCUAGUCUUCGAUGGAUAGGGGUUCUGAGAGGAAGGUCCCCCACAUUGGAACUGAGACACGGUCCAAACUCCUACGGGAGGCAGCAGUGAGGAAUAUUGGUCAAUGGGCGAGAGCCUGAACCAGCCAAGUAGCGUGAAGGAUGACUGCCCUAUGGGUUGUAAACUUCUUUUAUAAAGGAAUAAAGUCGGGUAUGCAUACCCGUUUGCAUGUACUUUAUGAAUAAGGAUCGGCUAACUCCGUGCCAGCAGCCGCGGUAAUACGGAGGAUCCGAGCGUUAUCCGGAUUUAUUGGGUUUAAAGGGAGCGUAGAUGGAUGUUUAAGUCAGUUGUGAAAGUUUGCGGCUCAACCGUAAAAUUGCAGUUGAUACUGGAUAUCUUGAGUGCAGUUGAGGCAGGCGGAAUUCGUGGUGUAGCGGUGAAAUGCUUAGAUAUCACGAAGAACUCCGAUUGCGAAGGCAGCCUGCUAAGCUGCAACUGACAUUGAGGCUCGAAAGUGUGGGUAUCAAACAGGAUUAGAUACCCUGGUAGUCCACACGGUAAACGAUGAAUACUCGCUGUUUGCGAUAUACAGCAAGCGGCCAAGCGAAAGCGUUAAGUAUUCCACCUGGGGAGUACGCCGGCAACGGUGAAACUCAAAGGAAUUGACGGGGGCCCGCACAAGCGGAGGAACAUGUGGUUUAAUUCGAUGAUACGCGAGGAACCUUACCCGGGCUUAAAUUGCAGAUGAAUUACGGUGAAAGCCGUAAGCCGCAAGGCAUCUGUGAAGGUGCUGCAUGGUUGUCGUCAGCUCGUGCCGUGAGGUGUCGGCUUAAGUGCCAUAACGAGCGCAACCCUUGUUGUCAGUUACUAACAGGUCAUGCUGAGGACUCUGACAAGACUGCCAUCGUAAGAUGUGAGGAAGGUGGGGAUGACGUCAAAUCAGCACGGCCCUUACGUCCGGGGCUACACACGUGUUACAAUGGGGGGUACAGAGGGCCGCUACCACGCGAGUGGAUGCCAAUCCCCAAAACCUCUCUCAGUUCGGACUGGAGUCUGCAACCCGACUCCACGAAGCUGGAUUCGCUAGUAAUCGCGCAUCAGCCACGGCGCGGUGAAUACGUUCCCGGGCCUUGUACACACCGCCCGUCAAGCCAUGGGAGCCGGGGGUACCUGUAGUGCGUAACCGCGAGGAGCGCCCUAGGGUAAAACUGGUGACUGAGGCUAAGUCGAAACAAGGUA
rnacentral:rRNA from 1 species